GACGAACGCUGGCGGCGUGCUUAACACAUGCAAGUCGAACGGAGUGGCGAACGGUUAGGUAACAAGGGGGUGGUCACACGUGCGCAUCGGGAUAAGCUUGGGAAACUGGGUCUAAUACCGGGGGGGGCAAGAUGAGCUGGGGUCCGAUCAGCUUUUUGGUGGGGUAAUGGACUAGCAAGGCGUCGACGGGUAGACGGCCUGGCAGGGUGUACUGCCCCAUUGGGACGGAGAUGCGGCACAGACGACUACGGGAGGCAGCAGUGGGGAAUAUUGCACAAUGGGCGGAAGCCUGAUGCAGUGACGCCGCGUGGGGGAUGAAGGCCUUCGGGUUGUAACCUCCUUUCGACAGAGACGCGGUACCUGUAUAAGAAGCCCCGGCUAACUACGUGCCAGCAGCCGCGGUAAUUC
rnacentral:rRNA from 1 species